AGUAAAGCAUAAGACAAUACAAACGUGUCUUUAGAAGUCAAUAUAUUGUUUGUUUUGUUAGAAUAUCAUUGAACAUAAACCGACAGUCCAUAGCAUCCAUAGCAUAGUGUUGUGAGGUUUUGUGAGGUUUUGUGAGGUUUUGUGAGGUUGUGUGAGGUUUUGUGAGGUGUUGUGAGGUUGUGUGAGGUGUUGUGAGGUUUUGUGAGGUGUUGUGAGGUUGUGUGAGGUGUUGUGAGGUGUUGUGAGGUUGUGUGAGGUGUUGUGAGGUGUUGUGAGGUUUUGUGAGGUGUUGUGAGGUGUUGUGAGGUUGUGUGAGGUGUUGUGAGGUGUUGUGAGGUUGUGUGAAGUGUUGUGAGGUGUUGUGAGGUUGUGUGAAGUGUUGUGAGGUUGUGUGAAGUGUUGUGAGGUUGUGUGAAGUGUUGUGAGGUUGUGUGAGGUGUUGUGAGGUGUUGUGAGGUUGUGUGAGGUGUUGUGAGGUUGUGUGAAGUGUUGUGAGGUUGUGUGAAGUGUUGUGAGGUUGUGUGAGGUGUUGUGAGGUGUUGUGAGGUUGUGUGAGGUGUUGUGAGGUUGU